rnacentral:lncRNA from 1 species
CAGUCUCUUCGUUCAGUGAGUUUAAAUCUAAAGGUAUGUUUGUCUUUCUGGACUGCAAGGAGAGGAGGCUUCAUCCCUGGCAGUGGAUGUGACUUCCUCCCCCAACUUCCUGAGAGGUAGAAAUGGUGCUAAAUGUGCUAUGCACACUUUAUAGCUCUGCAGGGUCAACUAGGACUUGGAAAGAUGCUUCAGAAAUCAACAUGCGAAGGAAAGCUCCACCCCAACAGCAAUAACUCCCUUACCCUACUAGAAUCUGGAAGAAAAGAUCGGAAUUAAAACCAAAAGACUACAUUUAGACAUUGCUUCCAUCAACAGGAGGGAACCUAAAAUGGGAUGCUUUGAAAACUCGGGAUCCUGAGCUGCUGCCUUUCUUUUUUGAAAGGAGCAAAGGAGAAGGAUAAAUAUAUUAAGAAUUUGUCAAAGAAAAAGAAAUGCUCUGUGCCUGUGUGCAGCUUGCUGAUGAAGGGAAAAAGCAGCCCUUCUUUCUUGAACAUUAGUUCAAGUCUAUAGACCCCUGAAAGGGGUCACAAUUUCAACUUUGCCCUUGUCAUCUUAUUUUCAGUAGCAAGGUCAUCUAUACUUGGGAGGUUUCAAAUCACCUUUGAAAAAUUUAG